GGGGAGAAAUAAAAUCCAAACAGUUGCUUGCUUAACCGGAAGGGGAGAAAUAAAAAUGGGGUUUUCUCAAUUUUGUUUGGGGUUUAAUAGAAAGUACUUUUUUAUUAGUCUAUUUAUCAUACUACUGAGAAACUUUUCUGGAAAACUUUUGUGUCUUGCUCUCAGGUUGAGGCUCAAUCACCCUGAAGUGGCAGCUCCCAUGGCCAUAUAGAUUUUGGAUUUGGCCUGAAAUGGCGAUAAAUCUGUGGUGGAAUAAGGAUUGGGACUACAAAGUGGAAGAGAAUGAAAAAUUUCUUGCGCUCUGUGAUUGUUUGCUUUCUGCUGGGUGCAUGUGAUGCACAGAAGAUUUGUAAAUAAGGAUUAGGACUACAAAGUGGAAGCUCUGAAAAUUUUCUUUAUUGAAAGGGAUUACAGAUUAUUAAAGUUUCUGAAGGUGUCCCGCGCUCUAAAUCCAAGCUGUCUCACCAGUGGUUCGAGCGGGUAUUGAUGUAGUACUAACUGGCACUUCUUUCCGUGAUUAAAAAAAUGUUUUUCGCACGCGUGUGAGCACAUGUAGGAAGGUUAGUAUAUUAUAUAUAGAUAAUCUUUUUAUAUAUACUAGCAUAUGCUCCACACCUUGUGUGUGAAUAUAAUUUUUAUUUUUAUUUUAAAAUGGAAAGGAGAAAAGGAGAAAAAAAGG